rnacentral:tmRNA from 1 species
GGCGACAGGGCUUAGUGAAGGUGAAAUCAAGUCUAUCAGGUUUUAACAUGUUGCCUGUAUGGCGAUGGCAAGCUUCAUCAACGCUAAAGCCUAUUAAACGGCAAAUAACAAACAAACUACGCUUUCGCAGCCUAAGAAACUGUGUGCGUGCUUCUACCCUGCAUCGCCCAUGUGACAGGGAUAGGGGCUAACAAGUAGUGGGAUACGCUGUCUCAUCUCCGCCUGCGGUGAGCUGAAGAAGACAAUCAGGCUGACCCGAAGGGGACCCGGUUACGGGGGGCUUCUAGGGUGACAUCAAAUCCGUGACUACACUCGUAGAAGCUUAUGUGCCGUUAUCUUCGGACAGGGGUUCGAAUCCCCUCGGCUCCAUAU